rnacentral:rRNA from 1 species
AAUGCCUCAUAGUAUUGAGUAUUCGCAUGAAUAUUUAAUUAAAGAUUUAUCGGUAAAAGAUGGCUAUGCGUCCUAUUAGUUAGUUGGUAAGGUAACGGCUUACCAAGACAGCGAUAGGUAGGGGUCCUGAGAGGGAGAUCCCCCACACUGGUACUGAGACACGGACCAGACUCCUACGGGAGGCAGCAGUGAGGAAUAUUGGACAAUGGAGGAGACUCUGAUCCAGCCAUGCCGCGUGUAGGAAGAAUGCCCUAUGGGUUGUAAACUACUUUUAUACAGGAAGAAACACUGGUAUGUAUACCAGCUUGACGGUACUGUAAGAAUAAGGACCGGCUAACUCCGUGCCAGCAGCCGCGGUAAUACGGAGGGUCCGAGCGUUAUCCGGAAUCAUUGGGUUUAAAGGGUCCGCAGGCGGUCGAUUAAGUCAGAGGUGAAAUCCCAUAGCUCAACUAUGGAACUGCCUUUGAUACUGGUUGACUUGAGUCAUAUGGAAGUAGAUAGAAUGUGUAGUGUAGCGGUGAAAUGCAUAGAUAUUACACAGAAUACCGAUUGCGAAGGCAGUCUACUACGUAUGUACUGACGCUGAGGGACGAAAGCGUGGGGAGCGAACAGGAUUAGAUACC